GCUGAAUCUGCGGACGCAGCAGGUAAACAAAGCGGCCUGACCCGCCAGGGGUCUUGCCUUGGCGAGCCACAUGCCAAAGGUUGCCGAUCCCUGCUCUAAAUGAUCUAAUGUUC